UUAAACAAGAGAGUUCGAUCCUGGCUCAGGAUGAACGCUGGCGGCAUGCCUAACACAUGCAAGUCGAACGGAGUGCUU
rnacentral:rRNA from 1 species